AUACGGAGGGGGCUAGCGUUGUUCGGAAUUACUGGGCGUAAAGCGUACGUAGGCGGACUGAUCAGUUGGGGGUGAAAUCCCAGGGCUUAACCCUGGAACUGCCUUCAAUACUGUCAGUCUUGAGUCCGGAAGAGGUGAGUGGAAUUCCUGGUGUAGAGGUGAAAUUCAUAGAUAUCAGGAGGAACACCAGUGGCGAAGGCGGCUCACUGGUCCGGUACUGACGCUGAGGUACGAAAGCGUGGGGAGCAAACAGGAUUAGAAACCCCAGUAGUCC
rnacentral:rRNA from 1 species